rnacentral:lncRNA from 1 species
AGCGGACACAGAAGAACACACAGCAAAUGGGCAUAAGAAAACAGACAAGGGGGGGGGGCGUGGAGGGGAGAGAAAUAAAUAAAAUAAAUCUUUAAAAAAAAAAAAAAGAAAUACCUGCAGCGACCUAACCCCUCCUCCCUUCCCCCCAAACCUGCGCAGCGUUGACCAGGACCUGGUGCGGCCUGCGGGUCACGCUGGCUCGAGCCACGGUGGGAGGGGCCACGGCCAUGGGCAGCCUCACCUGUUGCGGCCACCUCCCCCUCAGGCAGAACCGGAAAACGUGGACCUAAAACGAUCCCCAAGGAUCACCAGCUGCUCAGCUUUCCUCCUCCCUGAACAGACAAGAAGCCUGGAGUUCCAGGACGGGAAAUGAUUUUGUCCAGCUCCCAUGGUGAGCAGAUGGAAUGGGCCUCAAUCUGAUAUCUUUUUUUUUUUUUUUUUUCAGGCCAUCGAGCUGUUUUGCACACACCCAAGUCUGGGAAGCAGGGAACAAGAGGAC